rnacentral:rRNA from 1 species
CACUCCUGCGGGAGGCAGCAGUGGGGAAUUUUGGACAAUGGGCGAAAGCCUGAUCCAGCAAUGCCGCGUGUGUGAAGAAGGCCUUCGGGUUGUAAAGCACUUUUGUCCGGAAAGAAAUCCUUGGCUCUAAUACAGUCGGGGGAUGACGGUACCGGAAGAAUAAGCACCGGCUAACUACGUGCCAGCAGCCGCGGUAAUACGUAGGGUGCGAGCGUUAAUCGGAAUUACUGGGCGUAAAGCGUGCGCAGGCGGUUUGCUAAGACCGAUGUGAAAUCCCCGGGCUCAACCUGGGAACUGCAUUGGUGACUGGCAGGCUAGAGUAUGGCAGAGGGGGGUAGAAUUCCACGUGUAGCAGUGAAAUGCGUAGAGAUGUGGAGGAAUACCGAUGGCGAAGGCAGCCCCCUGGGCCAAUACUGACGCUCAUGCACGAAAGCGUGGGGAGCAAACAGGAUUAGAUACCCGUGUAGUCCCAUGAG